rnacentral:lncRNA from 1 species
GAAUGAAGCAUCCACACAGUCCAUCCAAGCAUACUGUGAAUCAAAACACAUGUCAUAGCUGGAACGAAAGCAUUAGGACCAUCUAACUGGAUUCCACUGGAAUGAGUCUCUGUGAAACCAUGCCGAAGUCUUUGUAAACAACCACCCUAAAGAAAGCUACAUGAAGAAUAGCCAAUAACAAAAGCACUGGAUUUAACUCAAUUUUGUGAAAAAACAAAAAAAACAAAUAUGAUGCACACACUCUAUCCUUUUGUGAACAAAAUGCCACCAAACAUUUGAAACUGGCCUAAGCAUACAUUGACAUGUUUGACAUGAAGCCCAGCCUUAUUGAUCAGCCUUUCCAAUACCCCCCGCCCCCCAUUCUUUAUUCCCAAUAGAUACAUCUUCUCACAGGUAAUUGGGCAGAAAAAUGCUUAUUGACUGAUCUUGAAAACUUCAAUGCAUCUAAAGCUGGAGAACAUUCAAAAACCAUGCUUCUCUUUAUUUAUUUCAGUUUCCAUGGCAAGAGGAAAAUAAAAGGCAACUGUUUUGAAAGCAACAACAGUAAACGAAGCAACAUCUCUGGCAAGCAGGCAAACCUUAAAGAGUAAAAGUUAUAAAUCCCCAUGUAGACAAUACCUUGAUUUGGAAACUGCUCAGGAAAACAACUGGAUUCCUAAUAAUCCCUGAACAAUUCUUUUUUUUUUUCUUUUCCUGUGGACAUUAGCCUUUUAAUUUUUCCACAAGGAAUUCUGGGCCAAUUUAACUAAUAAAUAAUAACAGA